ACAGGUUGACUUUUGGUGCGAGUGGAACCUUCAGUUGUUUCUAGCUGUAAGAUGUUAAAUGUGAUGACUUUGUGAAACUAGUAUUGAGGUGUACUUGCUUCCGACCUGGAGACUAGGCUGGGUUUAGUUCUGAAAACUUUCUAAAAACACUUUUCAGUUCCCAGAAACGAGGAUUACUAUUUCUUGGUUUCCCUCAAUAAGGUAAGACAGUGAGGUCGUAUUUCUGCUAGGAUGUUAGUAGCUCUAAGAGUCUUCUUUUGGUUGUUAUUAUUUUAUUAAGUUCAACAGCAUCCACAAGCCCAUUUUGUCCUUGUAGUCCACCUCACCUGUUUUUGUUCGUAUUAAUUAUCUAAACUCCCUGUAAAUAAACAACUGUAUUUUGCCAAAUCACCUGGUUUUAUGUUGCUUCCUUUUGCCUUUACAAGCUGCUGAUUUGGAUAAGUGCAACAUAUAUUAUUAUCAUAAUUAUUACAAACUUUAAACUCAGCAGCACAGUGACAUCUGGUGGUCUGUAAAACUUGUAGCAGCUCUCUGAUUUCAGAUUUUGAAUCUUAUGUAUAAUUUUGUGUGUUCAUUGCCAAAAUCAUGGAAAGUGAGAGGACACCUGAAGAGUGGAGAAGUAAAUUGCCGAGCUUAGAAAAUAAGAGUGAUGUGCAAAACUGUCAUUGACUAACUACAGAAGCACAACCCUGAUUCCAAAAAAAGUUAUAAUAAUAAAAAUAAUAAUAAUAAUAAUAAUAAUGAUAAUAAUAAUAAUAAUUUUAUCCCCCCAUUGGUUAAUCCAGAAUUUUUCAUCCUCUGGUUUUGAGUGUUUCCUGUAACAAAAUAAAGUUUGCUUUCUCGCCCUUACAAAAUAAAAAUAUUGAUUUUCUCUUCAGCCCCUAGCAUUCAAUGAAAUACAAGAAUAGUCAACAUUCACUGUGAACCACAACUAGCAACUGCUAGUAAACAGUAAGAAGUCCAACUGAGUGAAGAGAAGUGGAAAAUAAAAAAACGUCCAACAUAUAACUGUAGGCAAUGUCUCUUCAAUGUCAAAAUAUCUGUGAACUUAACCAUCCAACCUUCUUAUAGCAGGGAAGAUUAAGACCCUGUUUGAUGCUUAUUUAUUCAUAGGUUUUAACCACCAGUAUACCUCAAGUGUUCUCACUAAAUGAUUCUGUCCAUCGAUGUAUCCAGCACCUCCUCUGUAGAAAGCUCAUUUUCCAGCCGCCCAUGCUUUUUGUAUCUUCGGCCACAGUGUCAGCAUUGCAGAGGUCUUCGAUGAAGCCGAUCCCAAGUUCUCUGCAGAUGGGGGAACCUUUGGUCAUCUUCCACAGCGCAUCCCGAUGUAUUCUCUGCGUGAAUUGGACGAUGACCUGCCUCGUCUUAUUUUCCUCUCCUCUGACAAUGAGCCCAGUCCACAAUGUGGUUAAUGUUGGGGGCCCAUGGGGGAGAGAUUUUCAUCAACAGGGCCCACAUCAGCCCGCCGCUCAUUACAUUUACUCAGUUGGUGUGAUCAACAAGACGCAGCCAGUGGUGGCAUCACAAAUCAACAUAUGAGGUCCUUUCCAGGUGUUUUCAGCAGGGCAGAGGGGAGAGUCCUGUUCCUGCCAAGAGGCCUAAACCGUUGGAUGUGGCUUUCUAUUUGUUGCCACAGCCAUGUGAAAAACCCCCAAAAGAGCAGGACUGGGCCGUAGGGCUGCUCAUCUCGAUGAACGCACAACACAUGAAGAGUUACGUGAUGCCCUCAAAGUUUUAUUCCCAUAAUUGGGGACAGUUACUGGAGGGUGGCUGCUGUACAAAUCAUCAGGUGGGCCAACACAAGUUUGUGUGUUAGUGUUGCUCUGUCAUAAAAAACAAAACAAAAACGUAGAUAUGCAGCAGCUAACGUCACGUCAUGCAGUUAUGGUACAGGUUAAGGUUAUAGUACA